rnacentral:rRNA from 1 species
GACGAACGCUGGCGGCGUGCUUAACACAUGCCAGUCGAACGGAAAGGCCCUGCUUUUGUGGGGUGCUCGAGUGGCGAACGGGUGAGUAACACGUGAGUAACCUGCCCUUGACUUUGGGAUAACUUCAGGAAACUGGGGCUAAUACCGGAUAGGAGCUCCUGCUGCAUGGUGGGGGUUGGAAAGUUUCGGCGGUUGGGGAUGGACUCGCGGCUUAUCAGCUUGUUGGUGGGGUAGUGGCUUACCAAGGCUUUGACGGGUAGCCGGCCUGAGAGGGUGACCGGCCACAUUGGGACUGAGAUACGGCCCAGACUCCUACGGGAGGCAGCAGUGGGGAACAUUGCACAAUGGGCGGAAGCCUGAUGCAGCAACGCCGCGUGCGGGAUGACGGCCUUCGGGUUGUGAACCGCUUUCGCCUGUGACGAAGCGUGAGUGACGGUAAUGGGUAAAGAAGCACCGGCUAACUACGUG